rnacentral:rRNA from 1 species
UACAGAGGUCCCAAGCGUUGUUCGGAUUCACUGGGCGUAAAGGGCGCGUAGGUGGUUGGGUAAGUCUGAUGUGAAAUCUCCGGGCUCAACCCGGAAAUGGCAUUGGAUACUAUUCGGCUAGAGGUUUGGAGGGGGGACUGGAAUUCUCGGUGUAGCAGUGAAAUGCGUAGAUAUCGAGAGGAACACCAGUGGCGAAGGCGAGUCCCUGGACAACACCUGACACUGAGGCACGAAAGCUAGGGGAGCAAACAGG